UUUCUUACUUGUAACUUGCGAUUCCAAUUCCUUUUACAUAAUUGAGCAUAACUCUCUUAUAAAUUUGCUAUGUCAUGAGUGUGUGAGGCAAGGCAAACCAAGGGCUCAUAUAGUUUUUAAGCUUUUACUUACGCUUCUGUUUUGGCAUCAAUGAAGGCUGAAAGACCAGUUGGCACACAGCUCUUUGGGCAGGGCAAGAAGGAGCCUGCUAAGGCUGGUGAGAGUACGGCAAAAGCUCAGUCCCCCAAGGCGCCAUCAAAGAAGGCUCGACAGAAGCCCCAGGAACCUAAGAAGGGCAAAGGUGGCAAGGCUGCAGCAAAGCAUUAACCGGAUGUCGCCGGCUAAACGCGUGUUUUAUGCUAAUGAUGAAGCUAGAUGAAUAUUUAUGUUUCCUUGUUUGACUUUUAUAAUAUUUGUAUCUUGAGCUUUCUUGUUGAGCAGUGAUACUUGGGGACUGGUAUUCUCCCAUGUAUGUCAUCCUGAUGAAAUAAAUUACAAUUUGAAAGUAGGUGCUCAAAGUACA